rnacentral:rRNA from 1 species
UACGUAGGGGGCAAGCGUUGUCCGGAAUCAUUGGGCGUAAAGAGCGUGUAGGCGGCUCGAUAAGUCUGCUGUGAAAGUCCAGGGCUCAACCCUGGAAGGCCGGUGGAAACUGUCGGGCUAGAGUCCGGAAGAGGCGAGUGGAAUUCCCGGUGUAGCGGUGAAAUGCGCAGAUAUCAGGAGGAACACCGGUGGCGAAGGCGCUGCUCUGGGCCGGUACUGACGCUGAGGAGCGAAAGCGUGGGUAGCAAACAGG